UAACAUCUAAAUAGACUAAAUUAGAUAUAUAAUACACCCCAUGCGUUCAAAAUCCAUAUGGACCACACAUUAAGAAUGGAUCAUAUAAGAUUAGGUAAUUAAAAUAUACCCCAUAUGCAUUUGAAAUCCAAUUAGAAAUUCACACAUCCAGUGAAACCUACCUACAACUUUUGAAAGCAAGGAAACAACACUUCCCAUUUAACUCUAGUGUAAAUAUCUAAAACAAUGAAACUAUCUGCAUUUAAAACCUCUGUUGACCUCCUAAUCCUCGACAACUACAAAUAAGGGGGCAUAUAUUAAAAGGGGGGAAAAUCAGCUUCAAAAUGUGCCUUCUCAGAAGCAUCAAGGUUUCAUUCCUCCUCCUUAGGAGAGGAAAUAGAAGUGAGAAUGUGGUUGUUUUCUUCCAUAGUGCUUAUCAUACCAUCACUGAGCCACUUCCUGAAACCCUCUUCCAGGGCUUCUUUCAUCCAUGAAUGUCGACAGCAUUCACCAGCUUCAGCAAUUGUUAACCAACGUCUUUGACGGAGGCUCUUUUCUGGCCAAGAAUCAAGCUCCUCCUUCACAAGCAAAGCGUACAUAGCUGCUUUACACAAACCUUCAGGACUGAACUCGUCUUGAAGUGUUUUACUUUUAAAAUAGUAUUCCCCCAGAAAAUGCUGGAGCAAAAAAUAACAAUUANAAAUUCAAAUAUAAAUUAUGAAAUUAUAUUUUAUAAAAAUCUUAUUAUACAUGUCAAAUAAUAUAAAACAAUAUAGAGAUAAUGGAGACGGAUGGAGCAUAGAUGUAACUCGUUUUUCUUUACACAAGUGCUUCAAGAAACGGAAAAAGAGAGUAAACAACCGCUUAUGUGAAAAAAAAUUAGUCAAAUACUCUAAAAAAAUUCAACUAAUCAACCUGUGGUGCUUCUUUUAGUUUAAUCAAUUUUAGUGCUUCUUAUAAAAGAGCAAAGAUCUCAAAAUUAUUUACUAAGGUGUCAGCUCUAAAAGACAAGAGACACUGAGACAGCAAUGUGUACGAAUGUAGUUAUUGAGACCUACUUGUUCAGAAAAACAAGAAUAAUGAAAGAAGCAGCCGCCAGCUGCUUGUCAUGUAGUGGAAAUGUGGAAUUAUUCUACUAUCAAGCCUUGUGUACAGUGCAGGCCCCCAGUGAUGAGUAGUACCUCUUGACUCUUUUAUCUGUAUAUAAUUUCUUCUGUUCCACUCAAUUCUUUAGACUGAGUUUGAUCAUGAAAAUUAAGAAAUAUGUAUAAAAUAGUGGAAAGAGGAAGAAAAGUGGUUGAAGUGGUGAAAAUCCAUUAAAUUUUAAUAUAUAAAAAAGAGAUAGUGAAAUAAAGGUAGUGUGAAACAGAAGAAAAAAUGGGAAAAUAGUGGGAUCCACUAACUAUUUUAGAAAAAUUUUGUAAUAUAAAAAAAUAAGUGGGACGGGAGGGAGUACUUUUUAAUUUCCUUUUAACGAAAAAAGAGCUAAACGGUAGCCAACAGCAGUUAACACUUAACUCUGCCGACUUCCUGCUAUAUUUACCAGUAUUACUCCUGUCAACAUAAUUCAAGGUUUUCUGAGGGAAAGAAACAUAACUUAAGUUAUUUAAUGAGCUUAUUUGUUUACACAAAACAUAAAAUUUUAGCGAACAACUUAUUAUUGCUUAUGUUAAAAAGUAAAAGUGAAAGAUUAGUAAUCAUUUUAGUAAUUUUUUCAAGUGACUUAUAAAAUAUAGAAAAUAUAAUAAUUAUAAAAUAAAUUAAAUCAUUCAACAACAUACCUCGUACUAAUUUCAAUCUUUAAUAUUUAAAUUUUAAGUUAUUUUUUAUAUACAAACAUGCAUUUUUAAUUUAAAAUUCAAAAUUAAUUUAAUUCAGCAAAAAACUUGGACAAGCAAGCAGGAUCUAUAUUCGGUUUAUACUUUAUCGUAUCGCUACUAACUCAUUUUAAUCACGCAGACUAAUUCUAAUGAUCCUCAUCUUUCAACUAAUAAUCUAUCCUACUAACAAAUAGAUAAUACUGUAAUUCAAAAACAUUUAAUAUUUUUGAUUAAAGUUGCCGAACCUCAUAAUUCCAUUAGUCCUUUUCAAUUGUUCGUAAUAGUUCUCAUUUCUCAAGCUGGGUUGCGAGUAAAUCAGGCGAAAAACCAUCUUCCCUCUCUCCAGGACCAGGAGUGUUAAUAGGAUGCAAAAUAUUUCACACAUAUUUUGACAUUUCAUUCUUUGAGGACGCUAAAUUUCCCAAUUUUAUUUAAUAAUUUUUUGAAUCAUAUUGUCGUUAACGUAUUUUGAAAAUUUUGAAGGAAAACCACUUCUUAUGGACCAUAUUUUACACAUCUUUAACAUCUAAAUAGACUAAAUUAGAUAUAUAAUACACCCCAUGCGUUCAAAAUCCAUAUGGACCACACAUUAAGAAUGGAUCAUAUAAGAUUAGGUAAUUAAAAUAUACCCCAUAUGCAUUUGAAAUCCAAUUAGAAAUUCACACAUCCAGUGAAACCUACCUACAACUUUUGAAAGCAAGGAAACAACACUUCCCAUUUAACUCUAGUGUAAAUAUCUAAAACAAUGAAACUAUCUGCAUUUAAAACCUCUGUUGACCUCCUAAUCCUCGACAACUACAAAUAAGGGGGCAUAUAUUAAAAGGGGGGAAAAUCAGCUUCAAAAUGUGCCUUCUCAGAAGCAUCAAGGUUUCAUUCCUCCUCCUUAGGAGAGGAAAUAGAAGUGAGAAUGUGGUUGUUUUCUUCCAUAGUGCUUAUCAUACCAUCACUGAGCCACUUCCUGAAACCCUCUUCCAGGGCUUCUUUCAUCCAUGAAUGUCGACAGCAUUCACCAGCUU
rnacentral:lncRNA from 1 species